rnacentral:rRNA from 1 species
AUUGAACGCUGGCGGCAGGCCUAACACAUGCAAGUCGAGCGGAUGAAGGGAGCUUGCUCCUGGAUUCAGCGGCGGACGGGUGAGUAAUGCCUAGGAAUCUGCCUUGUAGUGGGGGAUAACGUCCGGAAACGGGCGCUAAUACCGCAUACGUCCUGAGGGAGAAAGUGGGGGAUCUUCGGACCACACGCUAUCAGCUGAGCCUAGGCCGGAUUAGCUAGUUGGUGGGGUAAAGGCCUACCAAGGCGACGAUCCGUAACUGGUCUGAGAGGAUGAUCAGUCACACUGGAACUGAGACACGGUCCAGACUCCUACGGGAGGCAGCAGUGGGGAAUAUUGGACAAUGGGCGAAAGCCUGAUCCAGCCAUGCCGCGUGUGUGAAGAAGGUCUUCGGAUUGUAAAGCACUUUAAGUUGGGAGGAAGGGCAGUAAGUGAAUACCUUGCUGUUUUGACGUUACCAACAGAAUAAGCACCGGCUAACUUCGUG